CCAUCGUCACUCCCCCGCGCCUCCCUCGUCUGCCGGCGCUGGCGCAGCAUCCUCUCCGAUCCCGACUUUCUCAAGCGUUUCCGCAGGCACCACCAAAAACCUCCACUGCUCGGCUUCUUCAGAGCUAAUUCAAUGAGCACAGAGCACCAAUUCAUUCCUGUGCUCGACUCGCCGGACCGCAUCCCUGCGGCCCGCUUCUCUGUGCCCAACAACAGCAACAAACACUGGAACUUCAUAGGCUGCCGCCACGGCCUCGCCAUCCUAGUCAACAUGUGGCUUCGUCAGGUGAUGGUGUGGGAUCCCCUCACUGGACAACAGCACCGUGUGGCUUGUCCA
rnacentral:rRNA from 1 species